CGAGCUGGCACAGACUUGAUGCGAAGCGACCGGCUGACAGCGGCGGUUGUGACAGCCUGCGAAAAUUCAAGGACGCGUGACAUUUAAGUUGACUCGAGGGUGCAAUUCAAAUGACAUGGCAUUGGGGAGGAAGAAUUUUCAUUGAUGAUGCUCCGAGUCUGCCUGGAGAUGACUGCAUUUGAUGCUGAAAAGCAUCCUCGUUUCUGCCACGAAUGUCAGGUUGUCCAAUUCUGCGCCCAUGAGAGAGCCCGUUUUCCUCCUCUGAAAUAAAUACCGUUUAAAAUA